ensembl:lncRNA
GGAAUCUAAAAGGAACAUGGCUGCAGGCGAGGAGCAGUCUCAAAACAGCCACUUCCAGCCAGUACACACAAAUAAACCUGAACGCUGAACUUCAAGAGAACCUCGUAAAAAGAGAAUUUUUGCAAUUAAAGUCACAAUGUGAGAAUCCUUUAUAUUGACUUUAAAAUCAAGCCAGUAAUAGACAAAACCAUUAAAGUGACAGAGCCUGGAGCGACUGUGUGCUGCUUUACAAUGAAAUGGCUUGUUUUCUCAUACUUUGCUGCUGACACAGUUGCCAUAUUAGAACAAAAUAAAUGGUUAGCGUCCUUGUUAUUAUCUCUCUUAAACCCAGUUGAACGGUCUGAACGCCUGCCAUUGUUCAGUCUCUGUGAUAAGGGGCAUGUGAUUCACCACUACGGCUCAGUAAAUGAAGGAUGGAGAUGAGCCACUGACAUGAAUACCCUGCCCUUGACUGAGCCAGGAUGCGAUCUCACGACUGCAUGUGAAAGCGCUCACUGGCACGGUGCCCGUCAGAUCGAGACGUCAGAGCCGCACACACUCACGCUGGCACGGGUCCCAUCGCUGCGUCCGCCCAUGCGAGGCCACCGGGCUGUGACGUUACAGAGGGAUAAUUUUGGGAUGACGCAUGCCGGUUCUCUGCGUGGAAUCAUUUUGGCUGCAUGGGUUUUUCUGGCUCAAUUAGCAGACUCUCUUUCUGCUGAAGGGGGAUUCAGCAUGUGACAGAGAGCGAGAGAGAGAGAGAGAGAGAGAGAGCACAGAACGGGUCGAGUGUCCUGUGUGUUUGUGUGUGUCCCGACGGCCCGCAGCAUUACCCAGUCUUAUGGAUCGGAGCCCCACAGAGCCGGACUUAACAAGCCUGGACUGCAGCAAUACUUGCUGAUCUGCUGAAUCCCACUGAUGUUAAUUGAUGGGCUAAAUUGGCCUUGGAAAUUAAUAUACCCAUGCCGGGCAGACCUGACCAGGCUUGCCACCAAAACAAGAGCCUGCGGAGUCAUUACAGGUAAUAAAUAAAUAAAUGGAAAUGAAAGAGGAAUGGGAGGUAAUUGCAAGGGAGACUGAGAUAGGAGCGUAUAAGCGAUUCGCUCGCAGGUAUGUGUGUGUGUGUGUGUGCGUGUGUGUGUGUCCAGUCCACAGUGAGGCAGUACAGACACAAACUCUCACUCACACACACACAAACACACCCUGAACUUACACAGAGCAAUUAAGGUGCUGUUGAGAUGAUACUCUUUGUGCUUCACAGAUGUAAAACACUGGUUCUAAGAGCCGAUUAUCAGCUUUAGAGAAAGCAAUCAUCAAACACAUGUUCUCUGUACCGACAACACAAAUUGACACCAGUAUCUUUGAGCUCACAUAAUGCUGCUGCUUUCCUCUUCUAACAAGCCCCGAUAAUCUGAAGAACCAUCAAACUUACUGACCUGAAGGUGAGAAACUUAUGGAAGAAAAAUAAUAUCACUUUGAAACAUAAAAGCAUGUUGAAUAGCAUUAACUGAAAAAAUAAUGCAUUGCAGUAACAGUGUUUGCUUUUUAAUGUCUUGUAUUUUCAGGGCUUGCAUUGUUAGGUCCUGAAAUGUAACAAGUAGUACAAGUUGUACAGUGUUAAACAACUUCUUAAUCUUUAAUAUAAAAACAACAACAUAUCUACAAAUAUAGUUUGGGAACAGCAAGUUUUUGAAAGAAGUAUCUUCUGUUCAUCAUCAAGGCUUCCUUUAUUUGAUCAAAAAUACAGAAAAGACAGUAAUAUUGUGAAAUAUUAUUACAAUUUAAAAUAAGUUUUCUAUUUUAAUAUACUUAAAAAUAUAAUUUAUUCAUGUGAUGCAAAGCAUGUCUUGACUAUCAUUUUUUUUUAUAUAAAUUUAACACAUCCUUGCUGAAUAAAAGUAUUAAUUUCUUUCAAAAGAGUUUCUAUUUUUAAUAAAUGCUGUUCUUUAACUUUUUAUUCACCAAAGAAUCUUGAAAAAAGUAUCAGGAUCCAAACAAAUAUAAAAAAAAAAAUAAUAAUAAUAAUAAUAAUUACAACAUUGAUAUAAUAAGUCAGCAUAUUAGAAUGAUUUCUGAAGGAUCAUGUGACACUGGAGACUGGAGUAAUGAUGCUGAAAAUACAGCUUUGAUCACAGCAAUAAAUGACAUUUUAAAACAUAUAUUCACAUAGAAAACAGCUAUUUUAAAUUGUAAUAAUAUUUCACAAUAUACCGUAUUUUUGGUCACAUAAAUGCAGCCUUGCAGAAGAGCAGAAGAGACUAUAUAUUCAAGCACUUGUGGAUGGACUGAAAGAGAAUAAUUCACUGGUCUGUUAUUUCUGUGCUCUUAUUGUGUCUCCAGACCAUUUGCUAUGUGCUCAGACUGUCAUGCUACACACACCAAACAAUUCAGACAGACACAAAAAGAUGUCUAACAGGUCAGCAGUGAACAUGCCGCAGCUCUUUUGAGGAGUCUGAUUAGACAGGCAUUCAUGCAUGGCACGGCAAUAUGGCACAAAGAAAAGCCACUACGAUGAGAUGAUUUCAGCCGUUAGACACUUUGGUUAGACACCUGUGGACCUCUAUUUGACAACAUGAUCUGAUAAUGAGAGAUACUGAGCGGCUUAUUACGAACACUUCAAUAGCAAAGAAUACUGUGUUAUAAUAUCAAAGUAAUAUGAACAUAAAGAGCAUUUUUCAGACUUUGUAGUCGUUCUAACUGCUGGUAAGAUGUCUAAUUCUGUUGAAUUGAAAGAGUGCUCAGUGUGGGUCAGGGAUGUUCUUUACUUCACAAAAUGAGAGAAAGUUAGAUACUCUCUUCAUCGAUCCAGCAGUAUGUUUGUCAAGCACACGUCCAAACUCUCCAGCUUGAUCCUCCCCACCCUUGAUGUACUUUCCAAUUCUGUAUUGCUUGGUGAAGGUAUUGUAGGAUUGUGUUUAUGUGAGAUACUGUAUUCAGAAUGUAUUUCUUUCCUUUUCUCUUUUUGUGUUUAUGUAUUUUUUAAAACUUCAGUGUAUUUGCUCACUAUCACUGUUAUUUUUUCUCUGUUGUCUCUGCUUUUUUCAUUCUACCUUUGUAAUGUUUCUUUAAAAUGUAUAAAUAAAUUAUUUUAAAAAAGAAAAAGGAAAAAAAAAACAAAUAUGCAGCAUUCCAUUUAGGGAUACUUCAAUUCUACACUGUAAAAAUAAAUCUUGUUUUGAAGAAUAAAAUGUAUAUUUUAUGAGAAAA